rnacentral:rRNA from 1 species
GAUGAACGCUGGCGGCGUGCCUAAUACAUGCAAGUCGAGCGAACAGACGAGGAGCUUGCUCCUCUGACGUUAGUGGCGGACGGGUGAGUAACACGUGGAUAACCUACCUAUAAGACUGGGAUAACUUCGGGAAACCGGAGCUAAUACCGGAUAAUAUAUUGAACCGCAUGGUUCAAUAGUGAAAGACGGUUUUGUUGUCACUUAUAGAUGGAUCCGCGCCGCAUUAGCUAGUUGGUAAGGUAACGGCUUACCAAGGCAACGAUGCGUAGCCGACCUGAGAGGGUGAUCGGCCACACUGGAACUGAGACACGGUCCAGACUCCUACGGGAGGCAGCAGUAGGGAAUCUUCCGCAAUGGGCGAAAGCCUGACGGAGCAACGCCGCGUGAGUGAUGAAGGUCUUCGGAUCGUAAAACUCUGUUAUUAGGGAAGAACAAAUGUGUAAGUAACUAUGCACGUCUUGACGGUACCUAAUCAGAAAGCCACGGCUAACUACGUG